GAUGAACGCUAGCGGCAGGCUUAAUACAUGCAAGUCGAGGGGCAGCAGGUUUGUAGCAAUACAGAUGCUGGCGACCGGCAAACGGGUGCGGAACACGUACAGAACCUUCCUUUAAGCGGGGAAUAGCCCAGAGAAAUUUGGAUUAAUACCCCAUAGUACUGUUGAGUGGCAUCACUUGCUGAUUAAAGAUUUAUCACUUAAAGAUGGCUGUGCGGCUGAUUAGGUAGUUGGCGGGGUAACGGCCCACCAAGCCUUCGACCAGUAACUGGUGUGAGAGCACGACCAGUCGCACGGGCACUGGGACACGGGCGCGACUCCUACGGGAGUCAGCAGUAAGGAAUAUUGGGUAAUGGACGGAAGUCUGACCCAGCCAUGCCGCGUGGAGGAUGAAAGUCCUCUGGAUUGUAAACUUCUUUUAUUUGGGAAGAAACCCGAUUUUUCUAAGUCGGUUGACGGUACCAGAUGAAUAAGCACCGGCUAACUCCGUGCCAGCCGCCGCGGUAACAC
rnacentral:rRNA from 1 species